UUCGGGUUGUCAUGCCAAUGGCACUGCCCGGUAGCUAAAUGCGGAAGAGAUAAGUGCUGAAAGCAUCUAAGCACGAAACUUGCCCCGAGAUGAGUUCUCCCUGACCCUUUAAGGUCCUGAAGGAACGUUGAAGACGACGACGUUGAUAGGCCGGGUGUGUAAGCGCAGCGAUGCGUUGAGCUAACCGGUACUAAUGAACCGUGAGGCUUAACCUU
rnacentral:rRNA from 1 species